rnacentral:rRNA from 1 species
CGCGUAGGCGGUUAUGUAAGAUAGGGGUGAAAUUCCAAGGCUUAACCUUGGGACUGCCUUUAUAACUAUAUAGCUAGAGUAUGGUAGAGGUAAGCGGAAUACCCAGUGUAGAGGUGAAAUUCGUAGAUAUUGGGUAGAACACCGGAUGCGAAGGCGGCUUACUGGGCCAUUACUGACGCUGAGGCGCGAAAGCGUGGGUAGCAAACA